GACUUUGACAUAACCUAAUGGUAAGUGUUUAUGAUAUAAUUAUUCACCUUUUAAAGCUUACGAUGUUAUUUAAAUACUGUUUUCCUUACUGAGCAUAUGAAACUCACUCUUUCCAUCCCUUCCUCCCCCUAAAUGAGGAAGAUAGUGAGGGACCGUCAGCUGACUUACCCAUUAAAGUCUAUGAGGAUCCCGUGGAUUUGCAAACCUUGAGUGCAUGAUUGUUCUCGCACUCUAAUGAGUCCAUUAGU
rnacentral:lncRNA from 1 species